AGAAAGACGUUGAAGAGGACGAGUAACUGCCGAAACGGCGGCACAGAGAGCAGGGCUAAGCUGAAAUCCUGCCCGCACGACCGCAGUAAAUGGACCUCGGAGUUGCCAGGCGAACACACCCGUCAGUAGCCCCGGCCGGAGAUGCCACCGUUAUCAGGGUAAAGGGUAUCAGCUUUGAGCUCGUACCCGCAAAGAGUGAGGCUGGCUAUUUCCGUGUGUUCUUCACCGGAAAUUUUUUAUAAAUUCAGCCUAAGUUGGGUGGCACCGCGGAUUUCAACACAUCCGUCCCUCAG
rnacentral:ncRNA from 1 species